UACAGAGGUCCCAAGCGUUGUUCGGAUUCAUUGGCGUAAAGGGUGUGUAGGUGGCGCCGUAAGUCGGGUGUGAAAUUCGGAGCUUAACUCCGAAACUGCAUUCGAUACUGCGGUGCUUGGAGGACUGGAGAGGAGACUGGAAUUCAUGGUGUAGCAGUGAAAUGCGUAGAGAUCAUGAGGAAGACCAGUGGCGAAGGCGACCACCUGGACGUGAUACUGACACUGAGGUGACGAAAGCGUGGGGAGCAAACAGG
rnacentral:rRNA from 1 species